AGUUGAUCAGGUGGUCGCUCUUUGGUGUAUCUAUAUGCCGGAGAGAGGAAAGUCCGAGCUCCACAGGGCAGGGUGGUCGCUAACGGCGACUGGGGGUGACCCUAAGGAAAGUGCCACAGAAAAUAAACCGCCUGCCUAGAGUGGGUAAGGGUGAAACGGCGAGGUAAGAGCUCACCGCUUUGAUGGUGACAUCGAAGGCAGGGUAAACCCCACUCGGAGCAAGACUAAAUAGGGACGCGCAUCACGACGAAAGUUUUGAUACCGGAUGGCCCGUCUGAAGCGUUCGGGUUGAGUCGCUAGAGCCAGAUGGCAACAUCUGGUCGAGAGAAAUGAUCAUCGCCCCAUUUUUUUGGGGAACAGAACUCGGCUUACGAGCAACUUU
rnacentral:RNase_P_RNA from 1 species